rnacentral:rRNA from 1 species
GACGAACGCUGGCGGCGUGCUUAACACAUGCAAGUCGAGCGGCGCGGCGAACGGGUGAGUGACUCGUGAAUAACUGCCCCCCUCUCUGGGAUGACAGUUAGAAACUGCUACUAAUACCGGAUAGUGGGGGAUGGCUCGCGGCCUAUCAGCUUGGUGGGGGGGUAGUGGCCUACCAAGGCGACGACGGGUAGCCGGCCUGAGAGGUGGACCGGGCACAUGGGGCUGAGGUACGGCCCAAACGGCAACGGGAGGCAGUGGUGGGAAAUAUGGCACAAGGGGGCAACGCCUGAGGCGGCAACGCCGCGGGCGGGAUGACGGCCCUCGGGUUGGAAAGCGCUUUCAGCCAAGACGCGGUAGUGGCAGAAGAAGCACCGGCUAACUACGUGCCAGCAGCCGCGGUAUUAC